CGUUCUCAAUCUCUGCUCUAUGAUGCAACACCUUUGCCUACCUCCCCCCCUCUUCAGAUCCCUCUCUCCCUCUCUCUCAGUCUCGAUUCAAACAUUCUCACCGAUCAUCUCCUUUUUAUCGCGCAGUUCAUCGAAUGGUGGAAGUGCUUUCGGAUCCAAGGAACGUAUUUCCGUUUGGGGCUUUUGAGUGCAUUGGAUGACCGUGAAAUAGUAUCUGUUACUUGUGGAGCUGAUCAUACAAUUACAUAUUCUCUGUCACGUCUGGAAGAUCACUGAGUUCAGAUUUGGUAGAGUAUGAUGAGGUAUUGUGAAAUGAGGGGCAAAAACCUUUUGGAUGCAGGUGUAAUUACACCAACAGAUCUCUAUGAAUGGAUGAAGGCAAAGAAUACUGAUGAAUCAGCCAUUGUUGGCAUUGGCUUGCCUUGUUAUUCAUAGAUAUGUAAUUUUCAUAUAUUGUAGUUGUGUUUUGUAAUGUAAUAUGUAAAUAUCAAAUAAUGUAAUUAGCUAAAAAG